rnacentral:rRNA from 1 species
UCUUAAGCUUUUCAGAGGAAUUUGCUCUUUAAUGGAUAAAACACCUUAACCUUACUUGGUCUAGUAAAAUUCAGUUUGUAUACCACUAUAAAAAUAAUAAUUUACUUUUAUUAUUAAAAUUCUUUUUUUUAGAUAAAAAUUAAGUCAAGGUGCAGCUUAAGGCUAAGAAUGAAGUGAAUUACAUUUCUUAAAAGAAAAGAAAAGUGAAACAAAAUAUUAGGAUUUGAUAGUAAAAUUAAAAUAAAAAGUUAAUUUGAAUUAAGCUCUAAGAUAU